UUAAGUGAAUAAGGGCGCACGGUGGAUGCCUUGGCACUAGGAGCCGAUGAAGGACGGGACUAACACCGAUAUGCUUUGGGGAGCUGUAAGUAAGCUAUGAUCCAGAGAUUUCCGAAUGGGGGAACCCAAUAUCUUUUAUAGGAUAUUACUUUUCAGUGAAUACAUAGCUGAUUAGAGGUAGACGCAGAGAACUGAAACAUCUUAGUACCUGCAGGAAGAGAAAGAAAAUUCGAUUCCCUGAGUAGCGGCGAGCGAAACGGGAAGAGCCCAAAGCACCAAGCCUGCUUGUUGGGGUUGUAGGACUCCAACAUGGUAGUCUGUUAGUAUAGUUGAAGGAUUUGGAAAAUUCCGCUAAAGAGGGUGAAAGCCCCGUAGACGAAAUGCUGACAACACCUAGGAGGAUCCUGAGUACGGCGGAACACGAGAAAUUCCGUCGGAAUCCGCGGGGACCAUCCCGCAAGGCUAAAUACUCCCUAGUGACCGAUAGUGAACCAGUACCGUGAGGGAAAGGUGAAAAGCACCCCGGAAGGGGAGUGAAAUAGAUCCUGAAACCGUGUGCCUACAACAAGUCAAAGCUCGUUAAUGAGUGAUGGCGUGCCUUUUGUAGAAUGAACCGGCGAGUUACGAUUGCAUGCGAGGUUAAGUCGAAGAGACGGAGCCGCAGCGAAAGCGAGUCUGAAUAGGGCGAAUGAGUAUGUAGUCGUAGACCCGAAACCAUGUGAUCUACCCAUGUCCAGGUUGAAGGUGCGGUAAAACGCACUGGAGGACCGAACCCACGUACGUUGAAAAGUGCGGGGAUGAGGUGUGGGUAGCGGAGAAAUUCCAAACGAACUUGGAGAUAGCUGGUUCUCUCCGAAAUAGCUUUAGGGCUAGCCUCGGAAUUGAGAAUGAUGGAGGUAGAGCACUGUUUGGACUAGGGGCCCAUCUCGGGUUACCGAAUUCAGAUAAACUCCGAAUGCCAUUCAUUUAUAUCCGGGAGUCAGACUGCGAGUGAUAAGAUCCGUAGUCGAAAGGGAAACAGCCCAGACCACCAGCUAAGGUCCCAAAAUAUAUGUUAAGUGGAAAAGGAUGUGGGGUUGCACAGACAACUAGGAUGUUGGCUUAGAAGCAGCCACCAUUUAAAGAGUGCGUAAUAGCUCACUAGUCGAGUGACCCUGCGCCGAAAAUGUACCGGGGCUAAACAUAUUACCGAAGCUGUGGACUACACCAUUAGGUGUAGUGGUAGGAGAGCGUUCUAAGGGCGUUGAAGGUCGAUCGUGAGGACGGCUGGAGCGCUUAGAAGUGAGAAUGCCGGUAUGAGUAGCGAAAGACAGGUGAGAAUCCUGUCCACCGUAUGACUAAGGUUUCCUGGGGAAGGCUCGUCCGCCCAGGGUUAGUCGGGACCUAAGCCGAGGCCGAUAGGCGUAGGCGAUGGACAACAGGUUGAUAUUCCUGUACCAGUUGUUUUUGUUUGAGCAAUGGAGGGACGCAGUAGGCUAAGGAAUGCAUGCGAUUGGAAGUGCAUGUCCAAGCAAUGAGUCUUGAGUAGAGUUAAAUGCUUUACUCUCUAAGGACAAGUUGUGACGGGGAGCGAAAUAAUAGUAGCGAAGUUCCUGAUGUCACACUGCCAAGAAAAGCUUCUAGUGAGAAAACAACUGCCCGUACCGUAAACCGACACAGGUAGUCGAGGAGAGUAUCCUAAGGUGAGCGAGCGAACUCUCGUUAAGGAACUCGGCAAAAUGACCCCGUAACUUCGGGAGAAGGGGUGCUGACUUCGGUCAGCCGCAGUGAAUAGGCCCAAGCGACUGUUUAUCAAAAACACAGGUCUCUGCAAAAUCGUAAGAUGAAGUAUAGGGGCUGACGCCUGCCCGGUGCUGGAAGGUUAAGAGGAUGGGUUAGCUUCGGCGAAGCUCAGAAUUGAAGCCCCAGUAAACGGCGGCCGUAACUAUAACGGUCCUAAGGUAGCGAAAUUCCUUGUCGGGUAAGUUCCGACCCGCACGAAAGGCGUAACGAUUUGGGCACUGUCUCAACGAGAGACUCGGUGAAAUUUUAGUACCUGUGAAGAUGCAGGUUACCCGCGACAGGACGGAAAGACCCCAUGGAGCUUUACUGUAGUUUGAUAUUGAGUGUUUGUACCACAUGUACAGGAUAGGUAGGAGCCGAUGAGACCGGAACGCUAGUUUCGGAGGAGGCGCUGGUGGGAUACUACCCUUGUGUUAUGAACCCUCUAACCCGCACCACUAAUCGUGGUGGGAGACAGUGUCAGAUGGGCAGUUUGACUGGGGCGGUCGCCUCCUAAAAGGUAACGGAGGCGCCCAAAGGUUCCCUCAGAAUGGUUGGAAAUCAUUCGAAGAGUGUAAAGGCAGAAGGGAGCUUGACUGCGAGACCUACAAGUCGAGCAGGGACGAAAGUCGGGCUUAGUGAUCCGGUGGUUCCGCAUGGAAGGGCCAUCGCUCAACGGAUAAAAGCUACCCUGGGGAUAACAGGCUUAUCUCCCCCAAGAGUCCACAUCGACGGGGAGGUUUGGCACCUCGAUGUCGGCUCGUCGCAUCCUGGGGCUGUAGUCGGUCCCAAGGGUUGGGCUGUUCGCCCAUUAAAGCGGCACGCGAGCUGGGUUCAGAACGUCGUGAGACAGUUCGGUCCCUAUCCGUCGCGGGCGUUGGAAAUUUGAGAGGAGCUGUCCUUAGUACGAGAGGACCGGGAUGGACUUACCGCUGGUGUACCAGUUGUUCUGCCAAGGGCAUUGCUGGGUAGCUAUGUAGGGAAGGGAUAAACGCUGAAAGCAUCUAAGUGUGAAGCCCACCUCAAGAUGAGAUUUCCCAUUUCUUUAAGAAAGUAAGACCCCUGAGAGAUGAUCAGGUAGAUAGGUUGGAAGUGGAAGGCUAGUGAUAGUUGGAGCGGACCAAUACUAAUCGGUCGAGGACUUAACCAA
rnacentral:rRNA from 1 species